rnacentral:rRNA from 1 species
AUGCACGCUGGCGGCGUGCCUAAUACAUGCAAGUCGAGCGAACAGACGAGGAGCUUGCUCCUCUGACGUUAGCGGCGGACGGGUGAGUAACACGUGGAUAACCUACCUAUAAGACUGGGAUAACUUCGGGAAACCGGAGCUAAUACCGGAUAAUAUAUUGAACCGCAUGGUUCAAUAGUGAAAGACGGGUUUGCUGUCACUUAUAGAUGGAUCCGCGCCGCAUUAGCUAGUUGGUAAGGUAACGGCUUACCAAGGCAACGAUGCGUAGCCGACCUGAGAGGGUGAUCGGCCACACUGGAACUGAGACACGGUCCAGACUCCUACGGGAGGCAGCAGUAGGGAAUCUUCCGCAAUGGGCGAAAGCCUGACGGAGCAACGCCGCGUGAGUGAUGAAGGUCUUCGGAUCGUAAAACUCUGUUAUUAGGGAAGAACAAAUGUGUAAGUAACUAUGCACGUCUUGACGGUACCUAAUCAGAAAGCCACGGCUAACUACGUG